ACUUCGCCGCCGGCGCAG
rnacentral:miRNA from 1 species